rnacentral:rRNA from 1 species
GUAAUGAACUUACCGGAUUUUUCGAGAGGUAGUGCAUGGCCGCCGUCAGUUCGUACCGUAAGGCGUUCUGUUAAGUCAGAUAACGAACGAGACCCUCAUCUCUAUUUGCCACCAGAUCUCCGGAUCUGACGGGACUAUAGAGAGACCGCUGGCGCUAAGUCAGAGGAAGGGGAGGGCAACGGUAGGUCAGUAUGCUCCGAAUGCUAUGGGCUACACGCGCAAUACAAAGGACGGGGCAAUGGGCUGCUACUCCGAAAGGAAUGACGCUAUCCCGAAACCCGUUCGUAGUUCGGAUUGAGGGCUGUAACUCGCCCUCAUGAAGCUGGAUUAGGUAGUAAUCGUGUUUCAAUAUAGCACGGUGAAUAUGCCCCUGCUCCUUGCACACACCGCCCGUCAAACCAUCUUAGUUG